AUAACUUUACAAAAUUUAAUGAAUAUACAUAAUUGCUGUGCUUAAAUGAUAGGUUUGAUUUAGUCAAUUGAACUGUGGUAAAUGGGACUAUGGUUUGCAGCAAGGUAUUAUAGUACUGAUCUUAUUAUUAUCAUUUGAGAAAAAAGGGCUCCUGGAACACCCACAAAAGGGCAUAUUAUAAAAGAACAACCAAUUGAUGCAUCUCUACUUUCUCAGGGAGUUGAAACUUCUAGUAGGAUGACAGUAGAGGAACAGACCAAAUUCUCAUGCACACCAUCAACAUCAAGGCAUUCACCAUUUAAUAAUAGUUAUGGAGGUAACACUUCUGCUGCUGAACAUAAUCAUUUAGAUGAUAGAGAGAGAGACCACCUGAAUAAGUUUACUAGUGUCCACUCAUAUUCUCCUGCUCUACAUGCUACUUGGAAGGGAGGCUUCAUCAUUCUCGAUUCAGAAACACCUGCUCAAUUCAUUGGUGGAUUCCUAGCACAACCUCCCUGUACUGUACAUCAAAAAGCCUAUGAGUUUUCACGAAAUAUGCCUCCCUGUCUUACUGGCCACUUUGCUUCCUAGAUUGCUUCUUUGGGUUGAUCCCUUCCGAGAGGAAUGUCCUGAUCUUCAAGAUGUUGGACUUUACUUUUUCCUUGAUGAUAACAUUGCCAGCUGAUUUGUAGAUCAAGAGAGACCUAUGCUUUGCUGUUGGAGGUCAUGGAUACCCAAAAUUCAGUGAUGAGGAUUUACUUUGAUGGAGUGGAUGCUGUGGAUUUGUUGAUAUUUACAUCUAAACAGCUGCAUUUAGACUCGCUGAAUACGGUGACAAGUCCAAGUACAGAAAACUUCUUAUGGGGAAUUUUUCGUGACAAGAAUCAUUGUCCAGCUGACAUGUAUGACAAUGGAACUACUGUUGAUAUGGAAGUUGACAUGGCUGGUGGAAAGAUGGUUGGAACCGUUGAUGUGGUCGUUCCAAAAGAUUCAUCCACCCCUUGUAGAAGGCCUGAGCCUAUCAUGAAAGCAGUGCAGCAACUUUUGACUAUUAAGAAGGAGGAGCAUUCUUCAUACCUGACCAGAUUGAGGGUUCUAGAUUCUACUAUUAAACAAUUGUUGGCAUUUAACUCAGAGGAGCCUAUCAUGAAGGAUGAGCAUUCUGCAUCAACGGAUGCUUAUCUUCCACCUUGAUCCUUUUAUCCGAAAUGAAGACGGCGUGUAGCAUGCAAGUGAAGUUGGAGAAAGAUGAGGAUGAAACCUGCCUUAAAUUAAAACGGACAAGAAAACACUCCCAUGUUUGCCAUGCUUUCCUGAGCCUAGCCCUCAAAGUGUUGCGGGCUCACCUGAUGAAAUGGUAGGGACAACUUCAACUGUAGAUGAGAUUACCAUACUUAGGAUGCUUUGCAGCAGAGAUAACCACACCAUAAUAUAGCUAAAAAAAAUACAGAGACACCGUUCAACCCCAUCACUUCCAAAGGUAUACAAAGUUUCCGCAGAGUUUUGUUCACAAGAAACAGAGUUAUGAGUUAAGAGUAAGAGCUAGUCUGCUAUAGUUGUGAGAUGUUUAGUUAUAGUGGUAUCACUGGAGUGAGAGUUGUGUAUGGAACUCAUGUUGCUGGUAUUAUAUGGAUCUUUUAUGUUGGGUCGAAAAUCA